UUCUCUUUCACACACACCCACACUCCGUGCCCAGGGGAGGAGGGCGGGCGGGAGCGCCACCCUCCCCAGCCCUGCCCCCUUGCGGCCCUGGCGUCCUCGGCUCCUCUUCACGUCACUUACAAGCUCCGGCAGCCCCGAGACUGUACCGAGAGGGUAAUUCCUGCUCGUCUGAUUCAGAUCUGACCAGAAUAUGCAAAGCAAGUUCGAAGGAAGCGCUUCAAAGCGCUUGCAGGGAGCGAGCUGAGCUGUGGUCAAAGCUUUUAGAGGCUCCGAGCUAUUAGAGGCGCUUGGCUCUUUGGCAGGGAGGUUUUCCGAGAAAGCCAGACUACAGGGUCCUGGUGAUGACCCCUGACCUCGGCGCAGCUGGGUUCACGGCAGGUGGGGCUCUCCCCAGGGGCUCUGCUCCCCACUCCACCUCCGGCUCCCCACCUAGUUCCUUGGAACCCCAGCCUGAGCCGUGGGUGGGGUGGUCCCCGACCAUCUCUUCCUCUAGCUCUUUGCUCACUCCCACCCCCGGGGCCCUUGGAGGCCACCUGGAUUAGCCUUCCCAGCCACCCCCACCAGGCUGAUGUUCUCACCCCACAUUCCCAGGCACGGCUGUGUGUCCACGGGAGCAGGGACUUGGACCGGUCACUUCUGAUGCCUAGAACGGUGCUCAGUCAAUAUUUGUGGACUCGUUGGGGGCAGCCACUCGGGUUCACAGAGGUGAAGCGACCUGCCAAGGACACGCCAUUUGGGAAUGUGGGAAAGACACAGGGGUGACCCUAGGAGCAGUCUUCCCGAAGCCCCGAGUACACGCCCAGGGCUGCCCUUGGGUGGAGCGCCAGGAGGUAGUGGCACCACCACCAGGAUGCGGGUCUCAGCACUAAGGCUCUGCAAAAAACAAACAAAAAAGACCUUUCCUGUGGCAUUUCCUCCCCCAAGCCCCCCAGACCCGACAGGUGGAGGGAUGACUGGCAGCCCCAAGUCAGGGGCUGCGUCCCCAUCCCUGAGCCGCAAAUGCCUGAAACAUGCCGGCCCCCAACGAGCUGCCCCAGGACCCAGCGUCCAAAAGGCACCCGAGAGCAAAUAAACAACGUUGUGUUUCUUUCCCAUUUCCUGACCUUUUGGGGAAAAUAACCUAAAGUGACCAGGCCCGGCGUCACUCCGUCCGCUGAGUGGACAGAGUACGUAGGAACCACACGAGGGAGACCCCCGCCUCUGCGACUGGGAACACAGACCAGAUAACGAUAACGUCACCUUCCCAGAGCACCAGGUCAGGGGAGGGGACCCAGUGGGCCUGGCUCCGCAGGGCCUCCCGGGAGGAUGAGCGCCUGGCAGGCUCUUCCCGGCCCUGGGCCUGCCAGUCGGCCGCCAUCUGCCUUCCAGGGUACCUUGAACCUGGAGCACACGGAGGCCCCCUCCCGGCUCAGGAGGCAGCUGUUAGCCGGGGUGUCCAGGGACCACAGGACCCUAACAAAAUGGAGUGGCCUGGACCCCUGGCUGAAGGAAGACCCCCUGACCCCUUUCCCUUGAUGACUACUCCAGCCUCUCCCCAUCUCCUCUUCUGUCUCCUCCAUUUCCAGCCCACAGACUGGGCGACCCUCUGGUUUUGCACACUGAGGCCCAGAGAAGGAAAGCAACUUGCUUCAGGUCACACAGCAAGCGAGUGGCCAAGGCAGAGCAAGAAUCCCUCCCAGAGCCCCUCUCCUCCUCCUCCUCCUCUCCUGCGGCAAAGAUCUCCCAGUUCUUUCAGGGGCAGACACCCCCACCUCCAAAGGACUUAAUGGGGGGCUCUCUGCCCUGGCGCUAGAGGAGGGGUUCCGCCUGCUUCCAGGAUUUGCUGAGAAGCAUCCUGCAGGGCGUGGGGACAGUUCCCGGUGGCUUCAGCAGGUACCAAAGCCUCCGUGGCUUUAAGAAGAGGACAGCUGGGGUCCCCUGGCCCCUGGACGGGGGGAGCUCGCCACUCCCACCCUGUGCCCUCGCUGCUGUGGACUCUAAAAACAUUGCUAUACUGUACAGCAAGCGUCAAACUUGCGGCCCGCCGCCCGCAUGCGGCCCACAACGAAUAUUUUUGCAGCCCGGCCAAUAUAACGCUAUGUAAGAAACGUUUCAAUAAAAAUUUUGUGACUUAA